UACGGAGGGUGCAAGCGUUGUUCGGAUUCACUGGGUAUAAAGGGUGCGUAGGCGGCCUUGUAAGUCAGAGGUGAAAGCUGCCGGCUUAACUGGCAAAUUGCCUUUGAGACUGCAAGGCUUGAGUCCGGGAGAGGAAGGCGGAAUUCCAGGUGUAGCGGUGAAAUGCGUAAAUAUCUGGAGGAACACCGGUGGCGAAGGCGGCCUUCUGGUCCGGUACUGACGCUGAGGCACGAAAGCCAGGGGAGCAAACGGG
rnacentral:rRNA from 1 species